CAGCAACUAAUCUGUACUUCAUUUGCAGCAUAUCUUUAAUUUUGGCAUUCUCUAACCCCACUUAAACUGUGAAAGAAACUGCACAAUCUGCCCCACAACUGGUAUAAACCAUUUCUGGCUGACUUGGACUUUCUAAGUCUUAAAACAAUAAAGGUAAAACUAAGCACAAAAUAUUUGUUAACACAAAAUAGAUAAAUACUAAGAGAAGAAUCUGGAAGAAAUGACAUUAUGUCAAACCAGAAAAAGGAGCUAGAUUUAAUUGUUGAAGAUUCUCUUUUUUUAUAUUUCUAAUUAGCAUUUUUUCUAAAAUGUGUUUCUAAGACUGUUCUGAAAGUAUCCAGAAUAUUUGAUCUUGCUGAUGUGUCCUAUUAGGCCUGAUGUGUUCCAUGCAAUGGGACAUUUUUUUGACAGAAAGGAAAUCUUGCCACUGUGGACGUCUAUUACAAACCUCUCCUCAAAAUCAGUAGAUCCAGAGGUCAGUUUUAGAUCCACAAUUGUAGCUGGCAUUUUCUGACUAUUCCAAUAAAAGAGAAGUUUAUGAUAUAUAGUGAUGAGGCCUGAGAAUUUUAGGGAAAAGAGAUAUUAGACAGCAAAAAACAGUGAAAAUUAAAUAUUAUCUCAGAGGCCAGAUUCAGAGGAAGGACAGGGAACUAAUGACAUUCAACAUGGAUACAGCUUUAUUUCAUAUGGGGCAGAGCCAUGUGAGAGUGUGAAAAUGGAAAUGAUGCAGUAGAUAUGAAACCUUUCUACACUUAUUGUUGGAGAACCUUGAAGUUUUGUGUCAUGUGUGUUUUACAGAUCAUCCCUGCCCCAUUGGUUCCCUCACUCACAGUCUGGAGAGAGGACAUAACCCAGUCCAUUGCCUUAACUACAGGGCUAAGUGAUGGCAAACAUGUUUGCCGGAAGAGGUGCUGUUUCAAAUGUUCAUAAUGGCAGACAUGCCAAAGAGUAACAUCAGGGCUUGCCCAACAAAGUAAAUGAUGAACAUCUUACAGCCUUGGUGCUUACACCACAUCCAUGCAGGGAAGAAUAAACACAAGACUUACUGGAAGUGUUAUUUGCCUCAUGCUGUUCUCGGGCCGGCUCUGCAGUAUGUCACAAGACCAAGCUGCUGGGCUCCAUACAACUGCAAUAAACUUUGGGAUAAACAUAUCUGUUUUUCUACAUUGCAUUUUGUUGGAUGAUGCCUAAGGAUGCAGUCAUUAAGAAUUUUAAGUCUGAAAUUAAAAACAGAGUUCUUUUUGUUAAAUUCGGUCCUUAUGGAAAAUAAGUAAAUACUUCC
ensembl:lncRNA